UGUGAGUAAUAAGAGAGAGUAUAGAAAAGGAAAGAGAAAAGGGAAAAACUAAAAUCUGGUAAACACAGAAGGAAGGAAGAAGCUUUUCUUUUUCACUUUGCUUUUACAAAAGCAGACUCUCUCUCUCAAACUUCUUCUUCUCACUUGUUCCCAUCACCCUUCUCUCUCUAUCUCUCAAGAACUUUCAGUUUCAGUGGGGGUCUCUAUUCUUCAAGAACAUAAAAAUAUGUUCUUUUCAUCUGCCUAAUUUCUUCAAUAAUCUAUAAAACUGGUCAAAUGACCAAGGUCAGUCCAGAAUUUGUAGCGGAGCCUCAGAUGCAGAUAGCCCGGUCAGUAUCAAGAGAUGUGAGCUUGUCCAAUAACCAGUUUCCAACAUAUAAGUUAGGACCCAACUUUGAGGUUCUACAGGAUACAAAGGAGGAUAACAAAGGCCCACCUUUAAAGGAGGUAGUCGAGGAAGAAACAAAUCGGCUGACAGAACAACACAACCGCCUUUCUGUUCGUGACCUUGCUAGCAAAUUUGACAAGAAUUUGUCAGCUGCAGCUAAAUUGUCUAAUGAGGCUAAAAUUAGAGAGGCACCUUCCCUCGAGGGACAUGUUCUUUUGAAGAAGCUCAGAGAUUCUUUAGAAUUUCUCAAAGGAAGAUUGACAGGACUUAACAAGGAGGACAUUGAAAAAACUAUUUCAUUGGUGGAAGCUUUGGCAGUAAAGUUGACACAAAAUGAGGGAGAGCUUAUACAAGAGAAGUUUGAAGUGAAAAAGCUUGUGAAUUUUCUCAAGCAGGCCUCAGAAGAUGCUAAAAGAUUGGUCAACCAGGAAAGGUCUUUUGCUUGUGCUGAAAUUGAGAGUGCCAGAUCAGUCGUGCAAAGAAUUGGGGAGGCUCUUGACGAAGAAGAAAGGAAUUCCCCUACCUCUGCAAAACAGGAAGUGGAGGGACUGCUGGAAGAGGUACAAGAAGCUAGAAGAAUAAAACUUUUGCAUCAGCCUAGUAAGGUGAUGGACAUGGAACAUGAACUGAGGGCUUUAAGAAUCCAGAUCAGGGAGAAGUCUACUGUUUCAUUUAAGCUUCAGAAAGAGCUAACAAUGAGCAGAAGAGCUGGGCAAAAUAAAUCCGAAUUUUAUGAGUUGAUUGGUUCUGAAACUUUAGGUUCUAUAAUAAGAAUCCAGUCAUGUUCAAAUGAAGCCAUUGAUGUUUCAAAAUGUUCAAUUCAGUGGUAUCGUUUAUCAUCUGAAUGCAGCAGAAGGGAACCUAUCGUUGGUGCGGACAAAUUUGUGUAUGCUCCGGAGCCUAUUGACGUUGGGAGACUUUUAGAAGCAGAUAUAGUCUCAAAUGGCCAAAAAGUCUCACUGACAACUACUGCUCCUAUCGAUCCAGCAUCUGGAUUGGGGAGUUAUGUCGAGACACUUUUCCGGAAGUCGAACAUUGAAUUCAGCGUGGUUAUUGCACAGAUGAAUGGACGGAACUAUUCAUCACGUUCUGCACACUGCUUUCAUGUCGGGAAAACAAAGCUGAAGUUGGGCAAAGGAUGGAUUACAAAAGCUAGAGAUUCAUACUCUAAGUCUAUGCAGCUAUGUGGAUUUAGAGGAGGCGGAAAUUCUGCGGCAAAGUCAUUGUUUUGGCUACCAAGGAAAGGACAUUCCUUUGUGUUAGUAUUUGAAUCAGAGAAAGAAAGAAACGGAGCCCUUAUGGCUGCUCGGAAAUAUGCCAUGGAUUGCAAUGUGAUAACAACUAGUGUCACUAAAGUAUAGUGAGUUGUUGCUCAGACUCUUGAAAAAUGCUACGACACUCGUGUUGGAUCCUCGUAAAAUGCACUACUUUUGGAGUAUCUGACACACAUCCGUCAACAUUUUGGAGAGUCCGAGCAACACAGAAUGAGUGUAAUUCUUGCUGGACCUGAUGAUGAUGCUUUGCUUUAGACAUACUGAUUUCCAAGUUAUUUUCACCAAUGAGUCACUUGAUUAGUUUUUUUUUUUUAAUUUUUUUUGGUGAUUAUAAUUAGUUUUUUUUUCCUUCUUUCAAAUGUGAGUGCUCAAUUUCUUAUUAUAUUUGUGUGUGAUUUAGUAAUCAAACAUGUCUUGUCAUUGUAAUUUUUUUACUAAUUAGUUACAUCCUUUCUAGGCAAUGUUCUUUUUUUAGUUUUGCCUUGUUAUGGGUUGUAACAAAUUUUACUAAUUGAUGGUCCAUUUGCAUUUUUAAUGAAAA